rnacentral:lncRNA from 1 species
AGGAAUUUUUUCUUAAUAACUCUGCCUCCCAUGUGAAAAAAGACCGAUACAUUUUAUUAAAGAGUUAACAUAUAGAUACACAUCUGGAUUUUAAAAAAAAAUCUAAGAAAUUACAUUGAAAAGGCCUUCCAAAGCAAGUUAAACAAAAAGAAAAAAAAAUUGACAGAGGGGUUCAAAAAAAAAACUACAAUUACACACUUGGGUUGGGUUUUAACUCUUAAACCUCUCGAGUGUAAAGAUCUCACUCUCACGUUGAGUUUUCAUUGAUUCGGUAGCUCAAGCUCAGCUGAGUUGAGUUUUCAUUGAUUCGGUAGCUCAAGCUCAGCUGAGUUGAGUCAUUGUUGUGAAUCACCAGCGGCGAGCUGCCACGCCGAGGUGGCAAUUAGUG